CGGUAUUUGUUUUUUAAUGUGAAUGUAAAAUGCUUUUUACAUAGUGUUAAACAAAUUCCAUUUGUCGAUAAAGAAAAUGAACCGGUUAGUUCAUGGUUUUGUUAUUUUUGCAAUGUUGGCGAGUUGUUCUGGAAGCCAUUUUCGAGGUGGAACAAUAACUUGGAAAUCAACAGGACAUGGUUUCGAAGUGGAAUUCAGUUCAAAGCUAGGAUGGGUGGCUGGAAUGUACUGUUCGAUAGCGACGGUCGGCUCGGGUCGGAAUGGAUCGGAAGCUUCAUGGAAAUGUGUGAAAGGUUGU